GGGAGCGCGCGGGCAGCGGGGCGCGGAGGGAUCCGGCGGGGGGAGGGGAGGCGCGCUGCGUACCUGCCCGCCCAGCCCUGCCCGCCGCCUGACAGCGCCCCGCCGGGCGGCCGCGCCCAGCCGCGCGGCCCGCGGGACCCGGCCGGGGGUGUUCGGGAGCCCGGCUCCGCUCCGCUCCGCCGCCGGGAGCCUCUCCGCGGCCGGACUCUUUACGGGAAGUCGGAAGGGUCUGAGCGGGGAAGCGGCCUGAAUAAUGAUGUGGUGACACAUUAUUGGCUGGGUGACAGUAGAUGCCAACUGAAGUGAACACAGAAGAAAUAAUUCUUUAUAUUUAAUUGGAAAUGCUUGCACUGCGUGGAGCCAGAAAUUUAAAGCUCUCUUUUUUCUCCCCUUUUUAGUAAAUUUUGUGGCCAACUAAUGAUUUCAUAACCACAGGAAUUGAAAGCCGUGGACAUCAAGUAUUCAUGCAGUUCAUGGAAGGAACUUGUGUGUGCAGAGUUGGAGAUCGCUAAAGUUACUCCUGGCACAGGUUUCAAUGAUAUUUGCAGUAAAAUUAGUCUGAUGCCAAAAU